CGGAGACUCGCGGUUGCUACGCGCACCAUGGCUGGAGCGCCCACGGUCUCGCUCCCUGAACUCCGUUCACUCCUAGCCUCCGGCCGGGCCCGGCUCUUCGACGUGCGCUCUCGCGAGGAGGCGGCAGCUGGGACCAUCCCAGGGGCGCUCAACAUCCCGGGUAUAGGGUGGAGAGGGGACGCCCAGGUGGUGGAAUAGAGACCAUUCAGGAGAUUCUUUGCCAAUGGGACCUCAUUUAGGAUGGAAUGGGGAAGGCACUGAUUAUGGGGGUCCUGCAUUCCCGGGAGCCAGCCCUCAGCUUCCGUAGGAAGGACUGAUGGGGGGCGGAUCUUGGCAUCGGAACUGGCCCAUCCAGUUUGAGAAGACAGCAGGCGGAGAGGAGAGGGGCAGACCAGCUUCUCUUGACCUCCCCAAGUCUGGACGCCUGAGGGGGCAUCCCGCCCCGCCUCCUCACAGCUUGGGGAGUGGCUUGCAUUCAAAAGUUGUCGGUUUCUGGUCCUUGAAAUUGGGGUGGGGGUAGGGGAUGGUUAUCAUAUGUUGUUUGGGGGCCCCCAGGACCCAGCCUUUCCAGGCCCGGCUUCCGAACCUGAGUGCCAAAUUGCUGGCUUUCCCUUCUACCCUCUCCACUCCUCCAGUGUCCGAGUUGGAGAGUGCUCUGCAGAUGGAGCCAGCUGCCUUCCAGGCUUUAUAUUCUGCUGAGAAGCCAAAGCUGGAAGAUGAGCAUCUCAUUUUCUUCUGUCAGAUGGGCAAGCGGGGCCUCCAGGCCACGCAGCUGGCCCGGAGUCUUGGAUACACUGGGUACGGGGAGGUGUG
rnacentral:sRNA from 1 species